rnacentral:lncRNA from 1 species
AGUCUGAUGACAGAAGAACAGAACUGGGGAGGGAAAUGGUAUUCUGGAACCUUUAAAAAGAACUGUUCCACUAUCACACAUUGCUUCUCACAGGACACAGGUAACUAUAUGGUGUCAUGGAACUUACUGGUCUGUGAAUCACCAGUUCAGCCCUAUCUCUUGUUUCUGACUGGAAUGGCCUGUGCUUCUUCAUCCUGCAGUGAGGGGAACGUGGCCAGAGGUUUCACCUCGGUUCUGGUUGCAGACAGAAGCAAGCUCAGCCUGUGGAGCACAGCUGUGUGACAGGAGGUUGGACCCUGAGGCACCCGAUGCCCUGCCCACAGCCCUGGUUCCCUUCCUGGAAAUGGACCCUUUCUUACUAAUGCAGACUUCAGCUGAUUGCCACAUAAACACUGGGGCAGAGUACUGCUAGAAAGCAUGCUUGAAGAGACCUCAGGAACAUCAGGAAGUAAAACCACACUGGUUUGCUUAGUGGGGAUCAUAGUACUCCUCACAGAUAAUGCCAAGGGCUAUCUCCUGCCUCUGACUCAUGCAUUUUGCAACCCAGUGGAGAUAACAGGGUAGUGCACGAUGGAAUUUGGUCGCUGUGCUCUUUGCCUAUGUAUCUAUUUGCAUAAAAGUUUAAUUCAUCACACCAGUUAUCAUAUAAAUGCUCUGGCAUGUAUUCAUCCAACAGGGCUCACAUCUCCCUGCUUGGCACAGAUGUUAUUUAACAGUGACAUUGAUUUAAUACCAAAGGUUGUUUCAUUGGGUUUUGAUGCCAGGGCUUUGGGGGAGAGCUUCACACAGUUAGACUGACAGGCUGCAAUUUUCUUAUACAUUUGUAUGGCAUCCAGAAGUGGGCAAAAGGAUCCAUUUCUAGCAAUCAAUGACAAAUCAAAUCAGCGUCUGUACUUUCUUUCAUCUUCCACUGCUUCAUCCCUUUUCUUCAGUGUGAGCUUUUUGGGCCAUCAUUCUCCCUACUCAUCACUAGCUAACUUCACUUAACUUGGUGUGGGGCAUCUGCUAGCAAGCUUGGGAAGCUGCUUGCAUAUGUGUGUACUGCUUAGCUGUGUGCUGGGAGAGAGCAUCUCAGACUUCUGUGAUGAUAUGUGGAUCUGCAGUUGCAUGGUUGACUGUCUCACGGAAUUAUCAGUUUUCAUGGCGGCUACAGAUGGAGGGAGGAAGGAGGAGCCACCUCCCACACUAUGCAUAUCUUCACAGGGAAAGGACAAACAACUUCAGCCCAGCUCCACAGGCACUUUCC